GAGUUGCGAACGGGUGAGUAACGCGUAGGUAACCUGCCUCUUAGCGGGGGAUAACUAUUGGAAACGAUAGCUAAUACCGCAUAACAGUAGAUGUUGCAUGACAUUUACUUAAAAGGUGCAAUUGCAUCACUACCAGAUGGACCUGCGUUGUAUUAGCUAGUUGGUGGGGUAAAGGCCUACCAAGGCGACGAUGCAUAGCCGACCUGAGAGGGUGAUCGGCCACACUGGGACUGAGACACGGCCCAGACUCC
rnacentral:rRNA from 1 species